UGGCUCUCCCAUCGAUGAAGAACGCAGCGAAAUGCGAUAAGUAAUGUGAAUUGCAGAAUUCAGUGAAUCAUCGAAUCUUUGAACGCACCUUGCGCCCUCUGGUAUUCCGGAGGGCAUGCCUGUUUGAGUGUCAUUAAAUUCUCAACUUCAAAAGCUUUUAUUAGCUCAUUGAAGGUUGGUUGUGGGAGCUUGCUGGCAUCUUUAGAUGUUCGGCUCUCCUUAAAUUUAUUAGUGGAAAUCUCUUUGUUGGAGUGAUCCUUGGUGUGAUAAUUAUCUACGCUUUGGAUAAUCCAAUGCUUCCAUUGAAGAUUGCUCAGUAAACACCUUUUGGUUUUGCUGGUUUUAUAGUACUGCAAUUAGUUGCUUUACUUGAAUCUCAGAGGAAAAGGGAAGUUUUUGCUAUCCAACUGUCUAUGUACUAUGGACAAAUUAUUGACUAUUUGACCUCAAAUCAGGUAGGACUACCCGCUGA
rnacentral:misc_RNA from 1 species